AACGCACAUUGCGCUUUGUGGUAUCCCAUGAAGCAUGCCUGUUUGAGAAUCUUUUUCCCCUCUCUAACCUUUUGCUUAGUUCAUUAGGUUAAAGGACUUGGGUUAUCCCGCUUAGGGUGACCUUGAAUUCAUAGAGUCUAACUCUUGACCAAGGGUUGAGGUAUUACUAGUAAGGUUCUUAACCUUUCUAAUGCCCAACUAUUCAACUUGCUCAUCAAGUUAGGCCUUACCCUAUCAAAAGAUUGGUUAACCACUCUUUCUAUUAGGUCUCAAAUCAGGCAAGAGUACCCGCUGAACUUAA
rnacentral:misc_RNA from 1 species